rnacentral:rRNA from 1 species
AGUGAACGCUGGCGGUAGGCCUAACACAUGCAAGUCGAACGGCAGCACAGUAAGAGCUUGCUCUUACGGGUGGCGAGUGGCGGACGGGUGAGGAAUACAUCGGAAUCUACUUUUUCGUGGGGGAUAACGUAGGGAAACUUACGCUAAUACCGCAUACGACCUACGGGUGAAAGCAGGGGAUCUUCGGACCUUGCGCGAUUGAAUGAGCCGAUGUCGGAUUAGCUAGUUGGCGGGGUAAAGGCCCACCAAGGCGACGAUCCGUAGCUGGUCUGAGAGGAUGAUCAGCCACACUGGAACUGAGACACGGUCCAGACUCCUACGGGAGGCAGCAGUGGGGAAUAUUGGGCAAUGGGCGCAAGCCUGAUCCAGCCAUGCCGCGUGGGUGAAGAAGGCCUUCGGGUUGUAAAGCCCUUUUGUUGGGAAAGAAAAGCAGCAGGUUAAUACCCCGCUGUUCUGACGGUACCCAAAGAAUAAGCAACGGCUAACUUCGUG